CAUGGGGGGAGCCUAAACAUGCAAGCCGAGCGGUAGAGAUUUUUCGGGAUCUUGAGAGCGGCGUACGGGUGCGGAACACGUGUGCAACCUGCCUUUAUCAGGGGGAUAGCCUUUCGAAAGGAAGAUUAAUACCCCAUAAUAUAUUGAGUGGCAUCACUUAAUAUUGAAAACUCCGGUGGAUAGAGAUGGGCACGCGCAAGAUUAAAUAGUUGGGGAGGUAACGGCUCACCAAGUCUGCGAUCUUUAGGGGGCCUGACAGGGUGAUCCCCCACACUGGUACUGAGACACGGACCAUACUCCUACGGUGAGGCACUAUUGAG
rnacentral:rRNA from 1 species